AAUAGAUACCCAGGUAGUCCACGCCGUAAACGAUGAGUGCUAAGUGUUAGAGGGUUUCCGCCCUUUAGUGCUGUAGCAAACGCAUUAAGCACUCCGCCUGGGGAGUACGGUCGCAAGACUGAAACUCAAAGGAAUUGACGGGGGCCCGCACAAGCGAUGGAGCAUGUGGUUUAAUUCGAAGCAACGCGAAGAACCUUACCAGGUCUUGACAUCCUUAUGCCAUCUCUAGAGAUAGAGCUUUCCCUUCGGGGACAUAAGUGACAGGUGGUGCAUGGUUGUCGUCAGCUCGUGUCGUGAGAUGUUGGGUUAAGUCCCGCAACGAGCGCAACCCUUGAUCUUAGUUGCCAGCAUUCAGUUGGGCACUCUAAGGUGACUGCCGGUGACAAACCGGAGGAAGGUAGGGAUGACGUCAAAUCAUCAUGCCCCUUAUGACCUGGGCUACACACGUGCUACAAUGGAUGGUACAAAGGGCAGCAAACCGCGAGGUUAAGCCAAUCCCAUAAACCAUUCUCAGUUCGGAUU
rnacentral:rRNA from 1 species